rnacentral:tRNA from 1 species
GACCUCGUAGUUCAGCCGGUGAAGCGUGCGCGUGCAAAGCGUAGGCGGCGUCCAUGCGUGGGUUCGAAUCCCUCCGAGGCUA